UUACGGGAGGCAGCAGUGGGGAAUUUUGGACAAUGGGCGCAAGCCUGAUCCAGCAAUGCCGCGUGCAGGAAGAAGGCCUUCGGGUUGUAAACUGCUUUUGUACGGAACGAAACGGUCUGGGUUAAUACCCUGGGCUAAUGACGGUACCGUAAGAAUAAGCACCGGCUAACUACGUGCCAGCAGCCGCGGUAAUA
rnacentral:rRNA from 1 species